GGGAGAGAGGAGGCUGGGGUAAUCUGCCCCCCCCUCAGGAGAAGCCUAGAGAGUUCGUGUUAGAGCUGCUGUCAGGGCUGGUAUGGUGGUAUCUGUGGGGUUGAGGGAGAGAGGAGGCUGGGGUAAUCUGCCCCCCCCCUCAGGGGAAGCCUAGAGAGUUCGUGUUAGAGCUGCUGUCAGGGCUGGUAUGGUGGUAUCUGUGGGGUUGAGGGAGAGAGGAGGCUGGGGUAAUCUGCCCCCCCUCAGGAGAAGCCUAGAGAGUUCGUGUUAGAGCUGCUGUCAGGGCUGGUAUGGUGACGUAGUCUGGACAUGGUGUUCAAGUAGGUGUUCGAGGGCUUCAGGGAGGUGGUACAGCCCUGGGCCUGAGGGAAACGCUGGUGGUAACGGUCUAGACGCAGGUACUUCACCGUCACCAGCUUACCUGGGAGGGGGGGCAGUAGGUAGG